AUUACGAACAGAAAUGAGGAUGUGAUAAGGUAACGAAGAAGCCCUAUUGGGCGAUGUAAUUAAGACAGUAGUAGUCCAUCAUACACACACUGAGGGUACAAAUCUGAGAGACUGAGACAGAAAGAGAUGGAUCUUAUCCAUUCUAAAAUGGCAGACAUCCAAAACCCUACUACACUUUAAUUGCUUCUCACUUCUUACAUACUAGACGAAGCAGAAGACUUCAUCACAGCAUGAGACAGACGGUCGACGCCGUAGGAACAGGAAUUCCUUAUGGCGGUGAGUUCAAAAGGAGAGAUAUCGGUGGCCAGCCACUGCUCCACUGUAAACAGCUGCUGAGCACAGGGUACGUGGGGCCCCGUUGUGGUCACCUCCACGUAAUUACAGUACCAGCCGUGGUUGUCGCCCGAUCCGUCGGAAGUGAGGUUCAAGGCGCACGCCGGCGCGGUCAAGCACGGCGCUCUCCCGCUGAAAAUGUCCAGAUUGCCCCUCUCGUAGUAGUUGUGCCCAGGCUCCAUUAUCCCUC
rnacentral:lncRNA from 1 species